CUACGGGCGGCAGCAGUGAGGAAUUUUGCGCAAUGGGGGAAACCCUGACGCAGCAACGCCGCGUGAGCGAAGAAGGCCUUCGGGUCGUAAAGCUCUGUCAAGUGGGAAAAAAUUCUUUUGAUCAAUAGUCAAAAGACUUGAUGGUACCACUGGAGGAAGCACCGGCUAACUCCGUGCCAGCAGCCGCGGUAAUAGGGAGGGUGCAAGCGUUGUUCGGAUUUACAGGGCGUAAAGAGCGUGUAGGCGGUUUAGCAAGUCAGAUGUGAAAGCCCUGGGCUCAACCCGGGAAGUGCAUUUGAAACUGCUUCACUAGAGUAUGGGAGAGGAGAUUGGAAUUCCUGGUGUAGAGGUGAAAUUCGUAGAUAUCAGGAGGAACACCCGUGGCGAAGGCGAUUCUCUGGACCAAUACUGACGCUGAGACGCGAAAGCGUGGGGAGCAAACAGGAUUAGAUACCCGAGUAGUC
rnacentral:rRNA from 1 species